GCUUCAAACCCAACUACACCCCUAACUUCUAUAACCCCCACCCCACGGGACCCUGUAUAGUUGGUUUUAGGUUGGGGCAACCACGGAGCACAACAAAGCCUCCACAAUGAAUGGGACCACCCCCCUUAUCUAAGAGCCACACCCCUAGGAAUUAAAACAUUAAUAUAAAAUGAUCCAUUAUUUGAUCAAUGAACCAAGUUACCCUGGGGAUAACAGCGCAAUCCAUUUCAAGAGCCCCUAUCGACAAA
rnacentral:rRNA from 1 species